rnacentral:rRNA from 1 species
AUACGUAGGUGACAAGCGUUAUCCGGAUUUACUGGGCGUAAAGGGCGUGUAGGCGGUCUUGCAAGUCAGAAGUGAAAUUCCUGAGCUCAACUCGGGCGCUGCUUCUGAAACUGCAGGACUUGAGUGCUGGAGGGGAUAGCGGAAUUCCUAGUGGAGCGGUAAAAUGCGCAGAUAUUAGGAAGAACACCGGUGGCGAAGGCGGAUAUCUGGACAGGAACUGACGCUGAGGCGCGAAAGCGUGGGGAGCAAACAGGAUUAGAUUCCCUGGUAGUCCACGCCGUAAACGAAGAAUACUAGGUGUAGGGGGUAUCGACUCCCUCUGUGCCGCAGUUAACACAAUAAGUAUUCCGCCUGGGGAGUACGGCCGCAAGGUUGAAACUCAAAGGAAUUGACGGGG